GUGGCUAAUGAGGCACAAAGGCCUGGUCCAUCAGGACAGGAAGGAGGUGAGAAAAUGGCCCUGACGCCCCUUGUCUGAAGACACUGUGAAUCAAGUCUUUGCCCACAGUAUCCAGCCCUCCUGCCCAAGCAGGCUCCGGGCCAGACGCUCUUGAAAGCAGGAAGUUCCUGUGCCCUGACUUAGAGUGAUAUGACGCCCAGGAAAAGGACCAAAAAGCAAAACCAUGGAGCGAGGGAAGAUGACAGCGCCUCUGACGGUUUGCUGUGGUUGAGUUUUCAAGAAUGAAGAACACACAGAGAGGAGCCUUCCUGUCCAGACAUAACUGCUUUUGGCCUGAAUUGUGACAAGGCCCAAAAUUGGAGUUCGCCUGAUCUCCUCCAAAAAAGCAACGAGUGUCUGUCUCCCUAGAUGCAAAGACCAUCUCGCUGGCCCCUCCCAGAGGUAUUAGCAUCAGGUGCAGGACAAGUGUCUUGGGGAGAAAGUUACUUGGUUCCGGCAGCAGUGUUCCGGAAUCCUCUGAGAGCGAGGUCCCUGUGAGCCCACAGAUGGUGAUUCCAGCAAAGCAGAGGGGCUGGAAAGGCAGUUCUGCAUCCGGGACCCACUCACAACUGGAAGGUCCCAUAGAAUCAGUCUGCCACCAGAAGGCUCACUGAACGCUGGGGGGAAGGUGCCCUGCUGGAGGCUCAGUGGUGUCGCCUCCUGUGUGUGGUCAGGCACGCCACAGUGGUGGCACAGUUGCCACCAGAAUAUUAACAGAGAGGACUUCUGGGGAACCCAACGACAAAUUAUUCUUGCUGCCUUUUUGCUGCUUGGUAUUUUGUAGUUUCUCUACAACAGCCAGGCAUUUCUUGCGCAACAAAUAAUAAAAGUCAAUUUAAACAUGGUCUAAAA